UGGAUAUACCACUGCAUACUUCUUCCUGCGCUUCGGUUUCACUGUGCCACGGAUAUUGGCGGGCUUGCUUCGUCUAGAGCGUAGGCUGUGGAUGCUGAAGGGCUCAAUGCUCUGCUUCCCAUCCCCGCUCCCUGACCACACACACAGAACCAGGAGAGACACCUGGCCCAAGUCAUUCUUGGCUUAGGAUAGAAUAACCCAAGCAGCAGUGGUUUUCAGCCUCUGGAGAGGAAUAAAGAUUGGAUAAAACUGU